rnacentral:lncRNA from 1 species
AUGUGGAAGAAGUUUUUAUGUUCUUCUUGAGAGAAAAAUGUUUACAAUCACAGUAUACAUAUACAACACAAUACGUGCUCAACAAGCUCCCUAACAGAAUUGGAAAGAGAAAGAAUUUACAUGUUCUACACACUUCCUCAACCGACAUCUAUGGUAUAUUCUCUGUGCGAUUUUCUGUUUCUUUCACCUUCUAGAAUGCCUUGCUGGGAUAUGGUUUGUCCAUCUGGCAAUCCAUGUUCCUUUCACUCUUCAACAUAUCCCCGCAAGAUGGAGAGUGGAUGUCUUCAACUCCCAUCUUGGACAAAUGGGAGUAAAAAAUAUUUGAGCUCAAUGCCUUUGUCAUAAUGUCAGCAACUUGAUCAUUAGUCCUCAGAUGUUCUGUUACCACGCUUCCUUCUUGCACUUUAUCUCGAAUUAGAUGACAGUCAACUUCAACGUGUUUCGUUCGCUCAUGAAAUACUGGAUUUGCAGCAAUAUGAAGCAUCGAUUUAUUAUCACAAUAUAGCAGUGCCACUUGAAGGUAACAAACUGUUAGGUCUUUGAGCAAAAACCGUAGCCAUGUUAGUUCACAGCAUGUACUUGCCAUGGCUCUAUAUUUUGCCUCUGCAGAGGAUCUGGAAACCGUACUUUGCUUCUUUGACUUCCAUGAAAUUAAAAGAGGAUCCUAAAAAUAUACAGUAUCCUGUGAUGGACCUUCAAGUGUCUAGACACGAGCUCCAAUCGGAGUUGCUGUAGACCUGGAGUUGCAGUACUGAUGAAGAUGAAUACAUCAGUCCUUUUCUUGGGCUUCUUUUGAUAUAACGAAGUACUUCAUGUGCCGCAUUAAGAUGUGGAAUUCUGGGCUUAUCCAUGUACUGACUUAGGAGCUAGACGACAUAAGAUAUAUCAGGUCUAGUCACAGUUAGGUAGAGUAGUUUUCCAAUGAGCCUCCUGUAAAUGGAUGGAACUUCAAGUAAUCCCCCUUGAUCUUUGGACAACUUGACGUUCUGGUCUAAGGAAACUCUUGCUGGUGUAGCCUCAAUUGUGCCUGAAUCUCCCAAUAUGUCUAAAGCGUAUUUUCUUUGGCAAACCAUGAUUCCUUCUUUUGACCUUGCUAUCUCAAUCCCAAGGAAGUAUUUCAAUACUCCUAAGUCCUUAAUCUUGAAUUCUUCAUUCAAUAGUUGUCUUAGAAUGUUGACAGAUUUCACGCCAUUGCUAGCCACAAUGAUAUCAUCCACAUACACCGAGAUGGCAGUAAAUGACUUUCCUUGAAACUUAGUGAAUAAGCUGUAAUCAGCCUUUGAUUGAAGAAAUCCCAGGUUUGUAAUGAAGGUUGACAGCUUUUAAUACCAUUAGCGUGAAGCUUGCUUCAAGCCAUAUAAACUUUUGAGCAAUUUGCACACUUUUGGUCUUGAUGCCUUUGAGUAACCUGGUGGUAGUUCCAUAUAUACUUCUUCAUCUAAAUUUCCAUGUAAAAAUGCAUUAUUUACAUCAAAUUGGUGUAGGAUCCAUCCUUUCAUGGCUGCCGCCUCUAACAAAGUUCUGACAAUAACCAUCUUCGCAAUCGGUAAAAAAGUUUCAUCGUAAUCUAGUCCUUCUUGCUGGGUAUAUCCUUUGGCAACUAAUCGUGCCUCGUACCUCUCUACUGAUCCAUCUGAAUUGUACUUGGUUUUGAAAACCCACUUACAUCCAAUGGUUGAUUUUCCAACCGGCAAAUCUGUGACAACCCAUGUGUGAUUUUGCUCAAGAGCAUCAAUUUCAUUUCGCAUAGCCUUGCACCAAUAUGGGGAUUCUAGUGCUUCAUUAUAGUUCUGUGGUUCUAUAUGUGAUGUGAUAGAUGUAACAAAAGCUUUGUGUGAUUGUGACAAUCUAUGGUAACUAAUAGUUGCUUCAAAUGGAAAAGGAUUACCUGAGGUUGGAUGAACCCUUUGCCCUUUGAAAUCUUUAACUUGGGUGGAUGAACUGGCUUGCUAGCGUAUGAAAUUUUGCAGAUAUGAAGGUGUUUUUCUAAUUCUACUGGAUCGUCUUGGCAAAUGAGGGCUAGUAUUAGGUGUUAUGUAUUCUGAUAGACUUAAAAGACUUUGUGUUCUUGGUUCAGAUUCAUUUAUGGAGCUCAUGGGGCUUGAGGCGGCUGAUGAUGGUACAUCAAUGUUUGGUGUUAAAGUAUGAUUAUUUGGUGGUAUGUUAUCAAAGUCAUAUGACUG